GCUGAGCAUCGAGGGAAACAUCCGCAUCAUGUCAGAAGAAGUUGACAGAAAGGGGGUGCUGAAAAACAUCAAAGUGCAGACCUCAGUAAAGAACGACUGCAGUUGGAUCAAAUCAGGAAACAACCAGCUGGAUCCAGUCAUCCAAAAGGAGAAAACUAAACCUGUUCCUGCAAAAAAGAGUCAAUUAGUUCUGCAGGCGACCAAGAAAUUUGAAUCAGAAAAUACUGCACCAAGUCUCCCUGCUCAAAAGACGUCACGUUUUCCAAACAAAGGGUGUGUGUGCAACGUGGGACUCAGAGCUUACUUAUCCUUCCUUAAGAUAGAUUCAGCUAAUCAGGGCAAAUUUAAUCCUGUCUCAAAAGAUGCUCCAAGUAAGGAAUCACAAGUGGAGACCAAAGAAGAUAUAAAGCUUCAGUCAACCACAGAACAGCUGGUUCAAAAUUAUAAGGCUCAGGAAGACAAAUUAGUUCCAAACAGAGGACACAAAGAGGUAGAAGCUAAUGUGUUAGUAGACAAGCCUGGAGUAAACGUCAAUGAGAAAGUUGGUGAAGUUGUUAAAAAGGAAGACCAAACCCAACCAGAUGCUUUAGGAAAGCAGAAUAAUGAUGUGGUGUCUCCCGUGAAGCAGGAAGAGCCAUCACCUGCCAACAAAACUGCAGAAGUCAAAGAACAUGUAGAUGCACCGACUGAGCUAUCAAAUAUGAAUAACACUGAGGAUAAGAGCUCAGCUGAUGCUGAAGUGGAAAGCUGUGUUACAAAAGCUUCUGCUGAGGGCGGCACAUCAGCCAACUUGGUACCUGCUACAGUUCCUGCUGUAACUCAAGUUGAGCCGAAGCCUAAAGUUGAACCUUUGACCAAAACAGAGCCGGCAAAAAAUGAAAUUGUGAAAGAUGCAAGUGUUGAAGUUUCGUCUACAAAAGGUAGCUCAGAGAAAUGUCCUUCAGCAGAAUCAAAUAAAGUGUCUGCCCCCUUUAAGCCCAAGCUGCUGCCUGAAACCAGUGAUCUUGCUGCUGAAGCAGGCAAACAUGCUUCUCUUCACGCCAGGGUGGACUCAGCCCCACCAGUUAAAUCUGUAAGCAGUUCACUGGCUAAACCUUCCAAGGAUUCACCUACAGAGAGCAGCUGUGAAAACCAUCCCGCAGAACAGGAUGAGAACAAGGUUUUAGUUAUUGGUGUAGUGUUGGAGUCUCCUGCUGUGGUCAAUGCAGCACCUACACAAGAGGCUUCUCCGCUUAUCAGUGUGCAACCACUUUCCAUUACUCUACCUGAAUCACCUGCAGCUGAAAGUUCUUUUAGGUCUGCAGUGUGUGAAGUAAAUGCUGCAGCUCCUGCAGAGCCAGCUCCAAAGACCAGAACCGAGGAGGUAGUUGAACACAAAGUCCGAUCCGUUGAUUUCAACUCUCCUGAAGACAGCAUCACGCCGCCACUUGAGGAUGCAUUUGACCACGUGAUGGUGCUGGAUAUAAAAGAUGCUUUUGAACUUGAGCCCGCUGCAGACACUCGGGAGGAUUUAGUUAACAAGCUAGUCGUUGAUCCGACUGAUGCUUUAGAUUUCGAUGCAGCGAGCAACGAAUCAACAAAACCUAAAGAUUCAGAACAAACCCUCCCAGAGGAGCAGAAGCGGAAGAUUGACGACACCAACGUUAGGAAUCACCUUAAGAAGCCUGCAGGGGAGAUAUGUAAUAGAGAAACUCCCAAAAAGGACAGCAUCAGGUCUUGCGAAUCGACCUGUUAUUACUGUAACACAACCAUUGAUGGAAAAGUGAGGAUCAUAGUGAAUGAACCUGCAAUAGUCUGCCACGAAGAGUGCCUUAAGUGUGGCGUUUGUGCAAAGGUCCUUGGAGACUUGCUGACUGCCAUGUUCCAGCACAAACAUCUGAUCCAUUGCAAGGAUUGCUUCACGAAAGCUGUUCAUCUGGACUAG
rnacentral:lncRNA from 1 species